rnacentral:rRNA from 1 species
AGAGUUUGAUCCUGGCUCAGAUUGAACGCUGGCGGUAUGCUUAACACAUGCAAGUCGAACGGAAACGAUACUAGCUUGCUAGUAGGCGUCGAGUGGCGGACGGGUGAGUAACGCGUAGGAAUCUGCCUGAUAGUGGGGGAUAGCCCGAAGAAAUUCGGAUUAAUACCGCAUAAUCUAUUCGUAGUAAAGUGGGGGACUUUCGAGCCUCACGCUAUCAGAUGAGCCUGCGUAAGAUUAGCUUGUUGGUGGGGUAAAAGCCCACCAAGGCGACGAUCUUUAGCUGGUCUGAGAGGAUGAUCAGCCACAUCGGGACUGAGACACGGCCCGAACUCCUACGNGANCCACCANUGGGGAAUAUUGGACAAUGGGGGCAACCCUGAUCCANCAAUACCGCGUGUGUGAAGAAG